rnacentral:rRNA from 1 species
AUGGCAUCAUCUUCGGACCCAUGGAUGAAAGAGUACACUGAAGCAUCUAAGCUUGUUGAUGAUAUAAGUUCCAUGAUUGCCGAUAGAAGUUCACUUCCACAAUCAGGCCCCGAAAUUAUGCGCCACACAUCAGCCAUCCGGAGAAAAAUAACCAUUCUUGGGACUAGACUGGAUAGCUUGGUGACAUUGUUGUCCAGGAUUCCGCCAAAGUCACUCACUGACAAGGAGAUGCAUAAGCGCCAAGAUGCACUUUCCAACUUGAAAUCUAAAGCAAAACAGAUGGGGACAAGUUUCAACGUGUCAAACUUUGCCAACAGGGAGGAUUUGCUUGGUCAGAGUAAGAAAGCUGCUGAUGAUAUGAGCAGAGUUGCUGGGUUAGACAACCAAGGAAUUGUUGGCCUUCAGAGGCAAGUUAUGAGAGAACAAGAUGAGGGUCUCGAAAGGCUGGAGGAGACAGUCCUGAGCACAAAACAUAUUGCAUUAGCAGUCAAUGAAGAACUUACUCUGCAUACAAGAUUGAUUGAUGACUUGGAAGAUCAUGUCGACGUUACAAACUCCCGUCUUCAGCGUGUGCAAAAGAGGCUUGCAAUUCUGAACAAGCGCGCCAAAGGUGGCUGCUCAUGCAUGUGCCUAAUGCUCUCUGUUGCUGCCAUAGUGCUGCUCGCGGUUAUCGUUUGGCUUCUCAUCAAGUACCUGUAA